AGCUUUGCGUAGUGGUGGUACCAUAGCCAUAGUAAAUCCGAGGCGCGGUUAUUGCUAGUUGAAAACUAUACCCAAUACCCCGCGCCGUCGCUCUGUAAUAUGGGCGGCGAGCGCAAUUUGUGUACGUCCUCACGGGGA